rnacentral:rRNA from 1 species
CAGCAGCCGCGGUAAGACGAACCGUGCGAACGUUAUUCGGAAUCACUGGGCUUAAAGCGCGUGUAGGCGGAUGGGAGCGUCGGCCUCUGAAAUCCCCCGGCUCAACCGGGGAAGUGGAGCCGAAACGACCCGUCUGGAGGGGCGUAGGGGGACCUGGAACUUCUGGUGGAGCGGUGAAAUGCGUUGAGAUCGGAAGGAACGCCCGUGGCGAAAGCGAGGUCCUGGACGUCUGCUGACGCUGAGACGCGAAAGCCAGGGGAGCGAACGGGAUUAGAUACCCCAGUAGUCCCUGUCUCUUAUA